UACAGAGGGGGCAAGCGUUGUUCGGAAUUACUGGGCGUAAAGGGCGCGUUGGCGGUCUGUUAAGUCGAUCGUGAAAUCCCCGGGCUCAACCCGGGAACUGCGUCCGAUACUGGCAGGCUUGAAUCCGGGAGAGGGAUGCGGAAUUCCAGGUGUAGCGGUGAAAUGCGUAGAUAUCUGGAGGAACACCGGUGGCGAAGGCGGCAUCCUGGACCGGCAUUGACGCUGAGGCGCGAAAGCCAGGGGAGCAAACGGG
rnacentral:rRNA from 1 species